rnacentral:misc_RNA from 1 species
GAUGAAGAACGCAGCGAAAUGCGAUAAGUAAUGUGAAUUGCAGAAUUCAGUGAAUCAUCGAAUCUUUGAACGCACCUUGCGCCCUUUGGCCAUUCCGAAGGGCAUGCCUGUUUGAGUAUCAUGAACACCUCAACUCUUUAUGGUUUUCCAUGAUGAGCUUGGACUUUGGGGGUUUUGCUGGCCUAUGGUCGGCUCCUCUAAAAUAAAUCAGCUUACCGGUGUUUGGUGGGUAUCAUGGGUGUGAUAACUAUCUACGCUUGUGGUUUUUCCACCAGGUAACCUUCGACAGCGGAGGUUCACUGGAGCUCAUAGAUGUCUCUCCUCAGCGAGGACAGCCCUUUGAAUGUUUGAUCUCAAAUCAGGUAGGACUACCCGCUGAACUUAAGCAUAUCAAUAAGCGGAGG